GAUGAACGCUGGCGGCGUGCCUAAUACAUGCAAGUCGAGCGAACAGACGAGGAGCUUGCUCCUCUGACGUUAGCGGCGGACGGGUGAGUAACACGUGGAUAACCUACCUAUAAGACUGGGAUAACUUCGGGAAACCGGAGCUAAUACCGGAUAAUAUAUUGAACCGCAUGGUUCAAUAGUGAAAGACGGUUUUGCUGUCACUUAUAGAUGGAUCCGCGCCGCAUUAGCUAGUUGGUAAGGUAACGGCUUACCAAGGCAACGAUGCGUAGCCGACCUGAGAGGGUGAUCGGCCACACUGGAACUGAGAAACGGUCCAGACUCCUACGGGAGGAAGCAGUAGGGACUCUUCCGCAAUGGGCGAAAGCUUGACGGAGCAACGCCGCGUGAGUGCUGAAGGUCUUCGGAUCGUAAAACUCUGUUAUUAGGGAAGAACAAAUGUGUAAGUAACUAUGAACGUCUUGACGGUACCUAAUCAGAAAGCCACGGCUAACUACGUG
rnacentral:rRNA from 1 species